CCAUGGGUAGGCUGAUGCAUAAACUCACACUAUGACUGCACCAAGAUAACCUGGAAACAGCCAGCUGGAAACUAGCAGCUGUUUUCCAGGUUUACUGGCUCGCACCACUGCACUGGCUUCCUUCACCUUGUUCAUCUGUCGCAGGCUAGCAAGAUGUACCAGCACUCAGGCUUUAAGGAGCAUGGAGAGUUUCCAGAGAACCAGAGUAGAGAGUUUGUGGGACACCAGGGAAGACAGUUGUGGAUGGAGUAUCGCUCACCUCAGAUGCUUUUGUUGGGUUUCAUGUCUGCUUUCUGAGUCCCUAACUGUACCUAUCAAGACUGGCUUUCACAGUGAAACAUAGUUUUCUUUUCAGUGCAAAGGACGAAGACACACAUAGUGCUGGGUCUUUAGUAAUUGAAAAAUGAAUAAAAAAUUAAUUUAGAAUUAGUAUUAAUCAGUGAUCAUAUACACAGCCUGGCCUAAUCCUUCUGUAAGAAAGAAUGCAGCGAUCCAGAGAGGCACCACACAGUUUAAUGCCAGAUGUUUUAUAAAAGUAUGACAAGAUAUGUGAUAUCAAUGAAAACAACUGUAAACAAGAAGUAAGAAAUCCAUGACAUUUUGAGUCCUGAGUGUAUUAAAUACACACUACAGUACCUGUACAUGAAAAAAAAUUGGAUUUAAGCACUGUCUUUUAAUUUAGUGGAUGGUUAGAAGAGAUAGUUAAUCUUUACACAGUGCACACAUGAAACAUGUACAGUGGCUCAUACUGGUCCCAUAAAAUGAAUUCUUCAUCAUAAAUCAUUGUGGUAUUGUUUUGUUGGAUUUGUAUUCAUCAGUGAUGGUGUACGCAACAUGGUCUAAUUCUGUCAGUAAAAAAAAUGCAACAUUUCAUGAAAUAAAGUUAAUUUUACUUGUGUAUUGUGUCCCUUCCUGCGACUGUUGGAGAUAAAAACAUCAGCCUAUUAAAAGUCUAAAUGUCUUAAAUAAGUGAGGGGGUUAUAAAUACCUGCUUACUUAAAGGCUCUAUAUGUGGGAAUCAGAAAUUCAUUCUCAUUAGUGACACCGGUGGCCGUUAGGUGAGCUGUAGUCAACAUCCUGUUGGCUUGUGCUUGCAUGCUCGCAGCAUGAGACUAUUGCAGGUGAUGUUUUUCCUCACUUAUACUUCUCAUAAUUACAUAAACAUCUCUAAUGCUGUGUUUUGCACUGUGUUUCAGCAAAGCAUCUGUCACUCUCAGUCAGUCAGCCCCCUCCCCCAGUUUAUGUAAGUGCGACUGCUCACACACAAACACACAAGUAGAGGCUCAUGCUGCGCUGUGACUGCUGGCCAGUGAGAGUCAAUCCAAGCCCAACCUGCAAAAAUAUGCAUUAAUUAAUCAAUCGAACCUGACCCGCAAACCACCAAUUUUUUUUUGCCAACCAUAUUUACUAAAAACCAGUAGGCUCGGUGAGCAGUGGCUGGGGAGCAACAUGCUGUGGUUUUGUUGUGAAAUGUGUGCUAAUUACGACCUUUUGACUACCAACAGAAAAAACAAAAAGGGUAAGUUAUGUGUUGCUAUUGCUUUGGAGCUUGUUUUCUGCUCCUUUGUUGAGGAAAUGUUGUUUUAGCUGUGUGUGCUCAGGAGUGGGUGACUUGUCAUUAUGGGGAUGUUUUUUUGUAAAAUGUGUAGUGGUUGAUGGUGGCAG